GAUCUGUGGCUCCAUGAUAGAGCAUCUGUUUUGCAUGCAGAAGGUCCUGGGUUCAAACCCUGACAUCUCCA